UACGUAGGGGGCGAGCGUUGUCCGGAUUUAUUGGGCGUAAAGAGCUCGUAGGCGGUUCGAUAAGUCGGACGUGAAAUCUCCACGCUCAACGUGGAGGGGCCGUUCGAUACUGUCGUGACUCGAGUCCGGUAGGGGAGUGUGGAAUUCCCGGUGUAGCGGUGAAAUGCGCAGAGAUCGGGAGGAACACCCGUAGCGAAGGCGGCACUCUGGGCCGGUACUGACGCUGAGGAGCGAAGGCGUGGGGAGCAAACAGG
rnacentral:rRNA from 1 species